AAGGGGUGUCCUGGGCAGAAGGUUCCAGAAGCCUGAAUUAUGGAGUUGUGUUGGGUGAAAACCCAUCUACCACCACCAUCACCCUGGCUAGACUGAGGGCUGACCAGAGCAAGAAGGAACAGCACACACACACACACACACACACACACACAUGGGCUUCUGGGACCACCCACCACUGACCAACUCUGUGGAAGGAGAAAUAUCUUGCUGACUAGAUGUCUCAUCUGUGACACCUGGCCACCUUGUGAAAGGUGACACUUGCACUGCGACCAAUGCUUCUUGUGAACCUGCGAAGGCUGGACCGCCAAUGACUCCAGAGAAGAAGGUGGAAGACCCUGAGAGGGGCACAGACACCACCCCAGCUGUCCCCAGACUGUGGUGUACUCACUGUGAUGGAGAGGUGCUCCUGAGGCUGUCUAAACAUGGUCCAGGCCAUGAGACCCCGAUGACCAUCCCUGAGCUGUUUCAGGAAUCUGUUGAACGAUUCGGCGCUUAUCCAGCCCUAGCCUCGAAGAACGGCAAAAAGUGUGAAACACUAACAUUCAGCCAGUACUAUGAACUUUGUCAAAAGGCAGCCAGAUCUCUGAUCAAGCUGGGCCUGCAGCGUUUCCACGGUGUCGGCAUCCUGGGCUUUAACUCCGUCGAGUGGGUCACUGCUGCUCUGGGCACUAUCUUGGCUGGGGGCCUCUGUGUUGGUAUUUACGUCACCAAUUCGGCCGAGGCCUGCCAGUACGUCAUCAAGCAGGCCAACGUGGAUGUCUUAAUAGUGGAGAAUGACCAACAGCUGCAGAAAAUCCUGUCGAUUCCACCAGACAAGAUGGAGACCGUGAAAGCCAUUGUGCAGUUCAGGCUGCCCUUGAUGGAAAACAACACAAACCUGUACUCUUCCUGUCUCAGCACACAGGCCCAUCAGUGCACAGGCAGAAGUCAGAAGCUGGCCAGGGUGGGACAGGGCAUUUCUGAGAGCUCUCCCAGCCCUUGGACCCUCUGCCAACCUCCGCUGGCAACCUGCCUUGGGUGGCAUGACUUCAUGGAGCUAGGUAACGCCAUUCCAAAUAUGCAGCUGGAUCGGAUCAUCCUGAGCCAGAAGGCCAACCAGUGUGCGAUCAUCAUCUAUACCUCUGGGACCACAGGAACCCCCAAAGGCGUGAUGCUGAGCCAUGACAACAUCACAUGGAUGGCAGGGGCAAUGGCUCGAGAGAUUGAGAUAAGCCGCAUCUCGGGGAAGCAGGAUGUAAUAGUCAGCUACCUACCGCUCAGCCACAUUGCAGCCCAGAUCACAGACAUCUGGGUCCCUAUCAAGAUGGGGGCACUCACUUUCUUCGCUCAACCAGAUGCACUCAGGGGCACCUUGGUGUACACACUCCAAGAAGUGAAGCCUACUAUUUUCAUGGGGGUGCCACGUAUCUGGGAGAAGAUGCAAGACACUAUCAAGGAGAAUGUGGCCAAGUCCUCCAACCUGAGAAAGAAGGCUUUUGCAUGGGCGAAGAUGCUUGGCUUGAAGGUCAACACCAAGCGGAUGCUCGGGAAGCGAGACAUCCCCAUGAAUUACCGCAUGGCAAAAGCCCUUGUGUUCUCGAAGGUCAGAAGCUCCCUGGGCUUGGACAACUGCCACGCCUUCUUCAGCGGGGCUUCGCCCCUCUCUCAGGAUGUCUCGGAGUUCUUUCUCAGCCUGGACAUCCCCAUUGGUGAGAUCUACGGGAUGAGUGAAUGCUCUGGACCCCACUCAGUCUCCAACAAGAAUGUCUACAGAGUUUUGAGCUGUGGCAAGGUCCUGAAUGGCUGCAAGAACAUGUUGUACAAGCAGAACAAAGACGGCGUGGGUGAGGUGUGCAUGUGGGGCCGGCAUGUCUUUAUGGGCUACCUGAACAAGGAGGAUGCCACGUUGGAGGCACUGGAUGAAGAUGGCUGGCUGCACUCUGGGGACAUUGGCCGCCUGGACAGCCAUGAUUUCCUUUAUAUCACUGGCCGCAUCAAAGAAAUCCUGAUAACUGCUGGUGGUGAGAAUGUAUACCCCAUCCCUAUUGAGACCCUGGUGAAGGAGAAAAUCCCCAUUAUCAGCCAUGCCAUGCUGGUGGGUGACAAAGCCAAUUUCCUGAGCAUGCUGCUGACACUGAAGUGUGAAACAGACCAGAUGAGCGGAGAGCCCUUGGACAGGCUGAGCAAGGAGGCCAUCAGCUUCUGCCAGUCGCUGGGUAGCCAGGCAGCCACAGUGUCGGACAUUUUGAAGAUUCGAGACCCAAUGGUUUACACGGCCAUCCAGUAUGGCAUAGACAUCGUGAAUCAGCAAGCAAUCUCUGACUCGCAUAGUAUUCGAAAGUGGAUCAUCUUGGAGAAAGACUUUUCCAUCCAGGGUGGGGAGCUGGGACCAACAUCAAAACUUAAGAGAGCUAUGAUAACCCAGAAAUACAAAGCACAGAUCGACAGCAUGUACUCGUCAUAGUGGCUGUGACAGGAGCUUCCUCCUGUCCUCAUGGUGAGACCCAGUGGCCUGGUUCUGCUGGGCUACAUAGUCACAGCCUCAUCUCAACGAGGAACAUCCUUCCCACCAGGAAGCCCCUUCCUGAACAGAAGAAGCCACACCCCUGCUGCUCUGUGGUCCUACCGUAAGCUUCCAAAGCAGGCGGCUGUGAUGGAGACAACCCCACACAGGACAAGCCUUCCAGGCGUGAGUGGAGCAGCCACAACAGGCUCUUCCUCUCCUAGGACUUUGUGUUAGAAAAGAGGUGUGAAGACCCAGAGCCUAGAACACCUUCCUGGGAGCAGCACGGAACCCUCAAAUAAGUAGUCAGGAGCCUCA